UGAGGAAUAUUGGUCAAUGGGGGCAACCCUGAACCAGCCAAGUCGCGUGAAGGAUGAAGGUCUUAUGGAUUGUAAACUUCUUUUAUACAGGAAUAAAUUGGGGGACGUGUCCCCUUUUGCAUGUACUGUAUGAAUAAGGAUCGGCUAACUCCGUGCCAGCAGCCGCGGUAAUACGGAGGAUCCGAGCGUUAUCCGGAUUUAUUGGGUUUAAAGGGUGCGCAGGCGGGAUGUUAAGUCGGCGGUGAAAUUUUGCAGCUCAACUGUAAAAGUGCCUUCGAUACUGGCCUCCUUGAGUGUGGAAGAAGUAGGCGGAAUUUGUGGUGUAGCGGUGAAAUGCUUAGAUAUCACGAGGAACUCCGAUUGCGCAGGCAGCUUACUAAGCCACAACUGACGCUCAUGCACGAAGGCGUGGGGAUCAAACA
rnacentral:rRNA from 1 species